AUUCCGGUUGAUCCUGCCGGAGGACAUUGCUAUUGGGAUUCGAUUUAGCCAUGCUAGUCGAACGAGUUCAGACUCGUGGCGAAUAGCUCAGUAACACGUGGCCAAGCUCCCCUUCAGUCAGCGAUACCCUCGGGAAACUGAGGUUAACAGCUGAUACACAACGCCAGCUGGAAUGCGGCGUUUCAGAAAGACAUCGCUGAAGGAUGCGGCUGCGGCCGAUUAGGUAGACGGUGGGGUAACGGCCCACCGUGCCAGUAAUCGGUACGGGUGAUGAGAGUCAGAGCCCGGAGACGGAAUCUGAGACAAGAUUCCGGGCCCUACGGGGCGCAGCAGGCGCGAAACCUUUACACUGCACGGAAGUGCGAUAGGGGAAUCCCAAGUGCGAGGGCAUAUUACCCCUCGCUUUUCUCGACUGUAAGGUGGCCGACGAAUAAGAGCUGGGCAAGACCGGUGCCAGCCGCCGCGGCAAUACCGGCAGCUCAAGUGAUGUCCCAUAUUAUUGGGCCUAAAGCGUCCGUAGCU
rnacentral:rRNA from 1 species